AGAGUUUGAUCAUGGCUCAGAGCGAACGCUGGCGGCAGGCCUAACACAUGCAAGUCGAGCGGGCGUAGCAAUACGUCAGCGGCAGACGGGAGAGUAACACGUGGGAACGCGCCCUUCGGUUCGGAAUAACUCAGGGAAACUUGAGCUAAUACCGGAUACGCCCUUACGGGGAAAGAUUUAUCGCCGAAGGAACGGCCCGCGUCCGAUUAGCUUGUUGGCGAGGUAAUGGCUCACCAAGGCGACGAUCGGUAGCUGGUCUAAGAGGAUGAUCAGCCUCACUGGGACUGAGACACGGCCCAGACUCCUACGGGAGGCAGCAGUGGGGAAUAUUGGACAAUGGGCGCAAGCCUGAUCCAGCCAUGCCGCGUGAGUGAUGAAGGCCCUAGGGUUGUAAAGCUCUUUCAGCGGGGAAGAUAAUGACGGUACCCGCAGAAGAAGCCCCGGCUAACUUCGUGCCAGCAGCCGCGGUAAUACGAAGGGGGCUAGCGUUGCUCGGAAUUACUGGGCGUAAAGCGCACGUAGGCGGCUUGUUAAGUCGGGGGUGAAAUCCUGGAGCUCAACUCCAGAACUGCCUUCGAUACUGGCAAGCUCGAGUCCGGGAGAGGUGAGUGGAACUGCGAGUGUAGAGGUGAAAUUCGUAGAUAUUCGCAAGAACACCAGUGGCGAAGGCGGCUCACUGGCCCGGUACUGACGCUGAGGUGCGAAAGCGUGGGGAGCAAACAGGAUUAGAUACCCUAGUAGUCC
rnacentral:rRNA from 1 species